AGAAGUCAAACUUAGGCUUGAGAUUACCUUCUGUUCUGGAACGGAGGACAGCGGGCCACUUUUCGAUCAAUUUGGCAACGUGGGCAUCCUGAAAAUCGUAAGAUUUCAAGAACUGGAUGACGGAUUGAGGCUUCUGAAGGUUAUUUUCAUCGAUUUGGAACUUUUUGGAGACGGAAAGAGCAGAUUGUAGAGGAAGCCCGCAUGAGUUGACGAGGUAUUGAACAGUAAAAGAAGAUGAGGCAUUGGGAGGUCGUGUAGUAGAUGAUGUUUUCAGGAAACGUCUUUGAAUCAGAGAAAGCAGAUUUCUCAAUGGUAUAUUGCUAUUAAUAUUGGUGAUCAUUUUUUAGUGGGAAGCAAAAUGCUGAAAGAUUGAUGACAGGAAAAGAAGAAGAAGAAGAAGGGUUUUCGUUAGGGUUUCUCCCCUGGCUGGCUGGCGGUCUGCUAAAUUUGACUGGCCCAGAUGGGCUUGUUUCAGGUGGCCCUUUUUUUCAGAGAGAAACUGGAGUGAGAGGGGGACAGAGAGCCUUUAAAUUAAAACCCAUUGAGUAGGGAUUGCAAUGGAGGUCGAAGGAGGCUCAGGCACCCUCUAGUUUUUGCAUCUAUGAAGAUAUUUUGGCUCGGUUUAUAAUUGAGGUGAAACCUUGUUUUUUAAUUUUUUUAAAAUAAUUUUAUAUUUGAUUAUAUGUGAUGUGUUAAUAUAUAUAUAUAUAUAUUGUUUUAAUAUAUUUUUAAAUAAAAAAAAAAUUUAUUUUCAUAUGCAAUGUUUUUACCACGCUUUCAUGCCAGUUUUUAUAUGUAAAGAGUUAAACUAGUUUGUAUAUUUACAUUAUGCUAUGAAAAACUUAAUUUCUUCAAACAUAAAAAAAUAUAUAGUUAUUUUUUUAUAUUAUCAUUAAAUCUCAAAAUACAUUUGUUUUGGAUUAUUUUUUAAAUAAGUUUUUUUUAUUAAUAUAUUUUAUUUAUCUUAUUCAAUGUAAUAUUUUUUAAUUAAAACCAAUGUUUUAAAAAAAUAUUUUAUGAUUUUUAAAACAAGUUAACAAAAAAAUUAGACAUUUAAAGUAAAAUUUUAAAAAAUCAUAAAUGAAAUAUAUAAUGAAAUCAUCUUCAAAAUCUAUUUAAACUUUUUUAUAAUUUAAACUCAAUUUCAAUCUAUUUUUAAUAAACAAUUUAUUAUUUAUAAUAUUAUUAUUUUCAUAUGAAAUACAUAACAUUUGAUAAAAAAAUAUUAAAAUUCAAAUAAAUAAUUAUACUAGUAUUUAAAAACCAUAUUAAAAAUAAAAAGUAAAUGAAUCUAGUAAAUGUUUUAGAAUGUAAAUGAAAAAAAAAAAAAAACUCAACAACGACUACGGGUUGACCUGGCUCACCAAUAGCAGGCUAGUCACACACACCCAUCCUUGUUUUAUCUUUUUAUUCAUUCACCCUAUACUUUUUCUUUUUGAAAAAAAUAUGAUAGGCUGGUCAAUUAUAACAAUUCAAAAAAUAAAUGCACCUCACCCAGCGCUAGAACUCAUGACGUUUAGGUUGUCACACACGUUAAUUAACACAUUAAUUUAUUAUAAAAUCAUUAAAAAAAUAUAUUGAGUUGAUUCAAUGAACAAUAAAGCACCAUAAAAAAACCCUCCUUCUUUGGGAGUGUAGUAUAAUUUCAAUACUCCACACCCUUUAUGAUUAAGGGCGUAUUUAGUAUUAUAUUUUAAAAAUAUUUUUAAAAAAAUUAAAAUUUUAUUUUUGAAUUAAUAUUUUUGAUGUUUUUAAAUUAUUUUGAUAUACUAAUUUUAAAAAUAAUUUUUAAAAAAUAAAAAUAUAUUAUUGAUAUAUAUUCUAGUUACACUUGCCACCCCUACCAUUAACACAAGGAAUUGAGAUUUUCUUACAAUAAUUUAUUUUUCGUGUUCUUUUUCUUCAGUUUUUUCUGUUGUUUUUUAUCUGCUACAAACUUGUCGUCGUUGAAAAAUGAUUGGAACCUACAUUUUAUUAGCAAUGGCGUUUUUGGUCUCAACAUACCAUGAAAACAACAGCAGAUAACGUUAUAUCCAAUCAUGAUUUAAUGUUUGGAGAAACUGUCGUAAGCAACUGGCAAAGACAGUGCCUCUAAGCUUCCUUAAAUUGUGAUUCAAGCAACAAUUAAGCAAAUAUAAUUUGGAACGAGCCAUACAAAAACUACCUUUGUUCCACUAAAUUAACGCUGCCAAGAUUAAUCAUUAAAGAAUUUAGGAUAGUUUUGUAUUUAAGAUAGCUCUUUGUCAGUCAUCUCCAUAAAUGCAAACCCUAUUUAUUUUGUUGAAGUUGAGUUCCUUACGUUUAUUUAAGGAUUUUAAACCAUGUCUAUAAUACUCGGCUCGACUUGAAUAGACCUGAUAAUUUAAAACCUGACUUGGUUAGAUUUUAGUUCGAACAAGUUUUGUUUCCCAAAAUAAUAUUGUUUUUGGUUUUUUAAAUCAUAAUUUAAGUUGACGUAUCAAUUUAUAAAUCAAUCCACUCAACUUUUUGAUUCCCUCCUUAAACCAGAUUGAUUAUCAUUACUCCCACCUUUUCAUAUUCAAACUUUUCCAUAUUCAUUUUGAAUAUCCAUGAAUUUCUAAAUUUUAAUAUAAUUUUUUUUAUAAUUAAUGUGGGUGUUUGAGCCAGUUUGUACGUACCUCGAUUAAUUUCACAGGUCCUGAAAUUAAUGACCAUAUAAGCCUUUAAUAACUAUCACAGGACUCGAACUUAAAACCAUAGAAGAAGCAAACCUUUUAAUUCCAAGCUUUUACCACUAGACCACCUACUAGAUAGUUAUACAAUUCUUUAAUCUUGCGAUGAUUGUGUGAUUUAAAAAAGAAAGAAAAAAAAAUAUUAGACAUGAUCAUUGGAGCUGAUUGGACAUGAAGGUAAAAUUAAUAUCUGAGUGACAUUUUAACAAUCAAACGAAUGCUUUGUAUGCUCCCUUGUAUACACAAGAAGUAAAAUAAAAUGCUAUAAAGGAAAUACAUAGAAAAGGUAAGGAAACAAAUUAACCAACAUUAUCUCUCUCCCACCAAGCUAAACCCAAUACAAUGCAGGACGUUAUGGAAGAUUUGAAUAAUGAGUUUGAAUUUGCUGCGAUUAUAACGCAUGAAAUUCCUAUUAAACGUGUUUAUAGAUUAGAUAAACAAGCAAGCUCAAGAAAGAGCUCAGAACGUGAUAUAUAUAUAUAUAUAUACACACAGAUACUUUUUUAUAAAAAAACUGUUAAUUUUGACCCAAACGAGCUUAAAAUGACAUCUAAAUUGUGGACAAGUCAAUUGGAUUUGAUCCAAGUCAAUGUCAAAAAAGAAUAAACUAAAUUGCAGAUAUGGAAAUUUGUAUUCACGUAUGGAUUACUGCAUAAAUCCAUCAUAAUUUUAUUUUAUUUUUUCAAAAAGAGAGCAAUCAGAUCGUUGAUACAAUUAGUAAAUAAGGGAAAGAUUAACUUUUUGAGUAAUGUUAUUCAUCCUGAAAUAUUAAAUUUUCUAUACAGUGAGUUCUAUGGUCUGAUUUUUUUAAAAAAACUUGCUAUGCAUCCUGGGUAAAUUUGAAAUAUUUACCUCUAUUGUUCGUUUUAAUGCCUGAAAUAGAUGAAAUUUUUAAUUAAUUUUGUUAAAUGCAACAACAGAGCUCAAUUCUUACAAAAUAUCUGUACAAGGUGAAUAACAAGUACAAAACAACAACAUAAAGGCACCUUCAUGUAGUCUUCAAAGGUUAAAAGGACUUGGAAGCACGAUCAAGGCCCCAGCUACGAGGAGUCUGGAAAGUUGAAGGGCCAAAUUUGAACUGUCCUUAAUUUGAAGGAUGGGAGGUCCGGCAAAUCGUACCCUGGUGCUUGUCAAGCCUUUUGCCCACCAGGAAAGGUUUUCAGCAAUGUUUUUGCUCAUAAUUGUGGGAUGUCAGAGUUCGACCUCAAAACAGCUUCAGUUUUUUGGCUUCAUCAUCUGCAACCACAUGCGAGCCAAUCCUUUUUAAUGAUAAAACACUCUCAGGAGAAUAAUACGGUAUUUGAAUCAGGAAAAGGCAAGAAUUUAAAAAUCACUGUAUAAAUAAGUCAGAAAUUAAAUUGCAAUUACUCAAGAUAAUAUGCUUGCUGCUAAAAUAGGAUUUAAAACACUGCUGACAAUUUCAAUUCAUUAUGCAAUGCGCACAUGUAACUAUAGAAAACAAAAGGUUGUCCUCCACCUUCAUUAUUAGAUGAAUAAUGCAAAUUUAGCUCCGUAGCAAACAUUGAUCGUUUUUCCAACUGAAAUAGAACACGGCCAUUGAAAUACUUGUUCCAUUGUUUCUAAAUAAGAAUGCAAUCUGUGUCAAGUCUGGACGUUUAAACAAUUGUUGCAUGUGUCCAUUGAAGUUUAGAAAUGACAAAAAUAUGUUACGGUUAAAUAAACAUGUGCAUCUUCACCAUAGAUAUGAAGAAGAGGUCAUGUGGGAAGUUAUACUCUACCGCCACUGAAAAACAAAAUUAGUGUCUCCCCCCUUUCAGUUCUUAUACAUCUUUAUCUUUUCCAUCACGCAACUUGGUAAAUCAAGGGUUCGUUAUUUGAUUAUUAUCUGCCAAAUAAUGGCAAAAGAACCAACAAAAAAACACCAGUAGAGGGUAUGCUUUGAUUACAAGAAAGCUUCACCAUCCAAAUUCCUAUAUCCCAACCAUGCAAAUGAUAUACGUUUGUUAAGAUUACUAAGCUUCUCGACAACAAGCUUAAUGAAAAAACUAGUACCAAAUGGCAAUUUGCAAUCCAUGCAUUCAUUCAUGCUACAAUCUAAAAUAUGCUUCUCCCAAGUCCUAACUAUACUCAUUGUUGGACUCCAUUGAUACAACCUUCCUGAGUUUGUCAACACCAUAGCCGGUAUUUUAUAUGCAGGGGUGAUGCACUAAGAGGACUUAAAUCUUUCAUAUCUAACACCCUCUUCUAUAUUGAACCUUAGCAAAAUAGCCAUUCAAACUCCUAACCUUAUUUCCGGGUCAGAGCUCAUAGGGAUUGAAGCUACAAGGGUCUAAAGAAGUUUAGGGUAGUUUUUGUUUUUUUCCUUUUCCUAUCGUGUUCUAUCAUUGAACAACAUUAUAUGAAAUUUAAAAAACAAUCAUUUACACAAGCAUCAGAACCUUUUUAGCUUAUGAGCAAGUGAGGGAACAAACCAAAGAGCAUGUUUUAUAUAGCUGCUCUUAUGUUUUAGUGCUCAAAUUAAGAUUCCCAAAGCAAAAAUCUCUACCAAAAAUGAAAAUACUCGACCAUUCAGUUUUACUCUGAAAAUCAAUGGAAGAAUUAUACGAUCAAAUAAUUUUAUCAGGACAGUUGUGUUUACUAAAGAUUUCCCAGAAAAUUCUAAGAAUUACACGGUAAAUGAUCUUCAACAUGAACAAAUGCUAGUAAAAACAAACUCCAAUGGAUGACUUACAGAAAGAAUAUGUAAAAUCACAAGAAAAUGAAUUCACAGUAUUCAAGUAAUAGAUUGAGAAAUAUAAAUCAAAACAAGUUGACACAAUACCUUCAUUGCUAUCCAUUAUCAUCCUUUUCCUUUCUCAAUUCCUCUAUACAUCUCCAGUAAACCAGGAACUUUAUCCUCAUACUUGGUAACACAUCUCUCCAUGAAAUCCUUCUCGCUUAAUUUUAAUAAAGUAGCAAUGUUUGGGUCUCUUUUAAUCAGCUUCUUUGACUUCAAAACCUCCAAAACAUUGCACCUCGGAAGAAUCCUUUUGCCAAAAGAGUAUUUAAGAAGCGCAGGAUUGGCAACUAUAGUUUGCCGUUCCAACUUCAUCUUAUUCAGAAAGAAAUCCAUCAUGCUCCGGAUUUUCUCCUCUGAAGUUAAUAAUAUAUAAGGUAAUCGCUUAAAAGCCCAUAAAACCUCCUCUUCGGUCCACCCAACACUCUUAAACAUAUCAAUUUUCUUCCUCCAAGCAGAUUCACUCAUUCGUGCAAUCACUGUAAGAGCAUGUAUAUACAUUGUCUUGUCUGGUUCGAUGCCCAGUUGCUUAAGAUAAGUGACAGCAUAAACCAUCCUAUCAUUACUAUGUUGUAAGGAUCUUGGCUGCGACAAUAGCAGUUUUGCAACCCUAUCAGCGGUCACUCCCUCCUUUUUCAGCAAGUCAAGGUUUGGUCGCACGGUAGCAUUGAAACUAAAGGACAUUAAAAAAGGAGCACGACUAAGAGCAGCUAAAAUAUUUUCAUUACUUUCAAGAAAUCGUUUCAAAAGCUCAAAACAUGGCUUGAUAGAAGCAUCUAAGGACGUUCUAAAAAUUACCGGAUCUAUUACGGCAAGCUGAGGCAGAAGCUGACCCACAAAGCCAUUUUUUAUGAAGAAGUCAAACUUAGGCUUGAGAUUAUCUUCGGUUCUGGAACGGAGGACAGCGGGCCACUUUUCGAUCAAUUUGGCAAUGUGGGAAUCUUGAAAAUCGUAAGAUUUCAAGAAUUGGAUGACGGAUUGAGGCUUCUGAAGGUUAUUUUCAUCGAUUUGGAACUUUUUGGAGACGGAAAGAGCAGAUUGUAGAGGAAGCCCGCAUGAUUUGAUGAGAUAUUGAACAGUAAAAGAAGAAGAAGAUGAUGAGGCAUUGGGAGGUCGUGUAGUAGAUGAUGUUUUCACGAAACGCUUUUGAAUCAAAGAAGGCAGCAGAUUUCUGACUGGUAAAUUGCCAUUAAUAUUGGUGCCCAUUUUUAGUGGG
rnacentral:lncRNA from 1 species